rnacentral:rRNA from 1 species
GACGUAGGGCGCGAGCGUUGUCCGGAUUUAUUGGGCGUAAAGAGCUCGUAGGCGGCUUGUCGCGUCGGCUGUGAAAACCCGCGGCUCAACUGUGGGCGGGCAGCUGAUACGGGCAGACUAGAGUGAUGUAGGGGAGACUGGAAUUCCUGGUGUAGCGGUGAAAUGCGCAGAUAUCAGGAAGAACACCUAUGGCGAAGGCAGCUCUCUGGGACGGUACUGACGCUGAGACGCGAAAGCGUGGGGAGCGAACAGG